rnacentral:tRNA from 1 species
GCGCCCGUAGCUCAACUGGAUAGAGCGUCUGACUACGGAUCAGGAGGUUGGGAGUUCGAA